CGCAUCUGUGCAUGCAGCAUAUCAAUAAGCGGAGGAAAAGAAACUAACAAAGAUUCCCUUAGUAACGGCGAGUGAAGCGGGAAGAGCUCAAAUUUGAAAUCUUCAAGGUUUUACCUUGACGAAUUGUAGUUUAAAGAAGUGUUUUCUGUUGAAGUUUUGGUAAAAGUUCUUUGGAAUAGGACAUCAUAGAGGGUGAGAAUCCCGUAUUUGACCAUUAUUUUCAGCUGUGUGAUACACUUUCAAAGAGUCGGAUUGUUUGGGAAUGCAGUCCAAAAUGGGUGGUAAAUUUCAUCUAAAGCUAAAUAUUGGCGAGAGACCGAUAGCGAACAAGUACCGUGAGGGAAAGAUGAAAAGAACUUUGAAAAGAGAGUUAAACAGUACGUGAAAUUGUCAAAAGGGAAGCGUUUGACACCAGUGUUGUUUUUCUGAAAAUCAAUUAAAGAACUGUUUAUGCUAAGUUGUUUAGACUUUAUCAGCUAACUGUUUAGUUUUGAGCUUUUCUUUAAUGCACUUUUCAGUUAACAAGUCAACAUCAAUUUCUUUUGCUGUAAAAAAGCUUGAGGAAGGUGGCUUGAGAUUCGUCUUAAGUGUUUAUAGCCUCUUGCCUAUGCAGUCGGAGAGAUUGAGGUCUGCAGCGUAGAUCCUUCGGGGUUAGAUACAUUUGUGCUAAGUUAUAGCUUUUUAUAGACAACUUGUUGACUAUGAUUAGUCUUGUAGCUUACUCGCUUAUGCUAUUUUACCUACGCUUAGGAUGUUGAUGUGAUACUGCGAGC
rnacentral:rRNA from 1 species